UACAGAGGUGGCAAGCGUUGUUCGGAAUUACUGGGCGUAAAGGGCGCGUAGGCGGCCUUCUAAGUCAGACGUGAAAUCCCCAGGCUUAACUUGGGAACUGCGUCUGAUACUGGAAGGCUUGAGUGCGGGAGAGGGAUGUGGAAUUCCAGGUGUAGCGGUGAAAUGUGUAGAGAUCGGGAGGAACACCAGUGGCGAAGGCGGCGAUCUGGGAAGAUACUGACGCUGAGGUGCGAAAGCGUGGGGAGCAAACAGG
rnacentral:rRNA from 1 species